UUGGAGGGCAAGUCUGGUGCCAGCAGCCGCGGUAAUUCCAGCUCCGAUAGCGUAUAUUAAAGUUGUUGCAGUUAAAAAGCUCGUAGUUGAAUUUCGGGAUUGGCGCAUCGGUCGUGCCUCACGGGGUAUGAACUGGUGCAGUCAAUUUCCCACCUUCUGGAGAACCGCGAUGUCCUUAAUUGGAUGCCGCGGGGAACCAGGACCUUUACUUUGAAAAAAUUAGAGUGUUUAAAGCAGGCAUUUUUGCUUGAAUACAUUAGCAUGGAAUAAUAAAAUAGGACGGCAUGGUUCUAUUUUGUUGGUUUCUAGGACCACCGUAAUGAUUAAUAGGGAUAGUUGGGGGCAUUAGUAUUCAAUUGUCAGAGGUGAAAUUCUUGGAUUUAUUGAAGACUAACUACUGCGAAAGCAUUUGCCAAGGAUGUUUUCAUUAAUCAAGAACGAAAGUUAGGGGAUCGAAGACGAUCAGAUACCGUCGUAGUCUUAACCAUAAACUAUGCCGACUAGGAAUCAGACGAUGUUAAUUUUUUAAUGACUCGUUUGGCACCUUACGGGAAACCAAAGUGUUUGGGUUC
rnacentral:rRNA from 1 species